rnacentral:rRNA from 1 species
UACAGAGGUCCCAAGCGUUGUUCGGAUUCACUGGGCGUAAAGGGUGCGUAGGUGGUGAGGUAAGUCGGAUGUGAAAUCUCCAGGCUCAACCUGGAAACUGCCAUUGAUACUAUCAGUCUUGAAUUUUGUUGAGGUAGGCGGAAUAUGUCAUGUAGCGGUGAAAUGCUUAGAUAUGACAUAGAACACCGAUUGCGAAGGCAGCUUACUAAACAAAUAUUGACGCUGAGGACGAAAGCGUGGGGAUCAAACAGG